rnacentral:rRNA from 1 species
AGAGUUUGAUCCUGGCUCAGGACGAACGCUGGCGGCGUGCCUAAUACAUGCAAGUAGAACGCUGAAGAGAGGAGCUUGCUCUUCUUGGAUGAGUUGCGAACGGGUGAGUAACGCGUAGGUAACCUGCCUUGUAGCGGGGGAUAACUAUUGGAAACGAUAGCUAAUACCGCAUAACAAUGGAUGACACAUGUCAUUUAUUUGAAAGGGGCAAUUGCUCCACUACAAGAUGGACCUGCGUUGUAUUAGCUAGUAGGUGAGGUAAUGGCUCACCUAGGCGACGAUACAUAGCCGACCUGAGAGGGUGAUCGGCCACACUGGGACUGAGACACGGCCCAGACUCCUACGGGAGGCAGCAGUAGGGAAUCUUCGGCAAUGGGGGCAACCCUGACCGAGCAACGCCGCGUGAGUGAAGAAGGUUUUCGGAUCGUAAAGCUCUGUUGUAAGUCAAGAACGGGUGUGAGAGUGGAAAGUUCACACUGUGACGGUAGCUUACCAGAAAGGGACGGCUAACUACGUGCCAGCAGCCGCGGUAAUACGUAGGUCCCGAGCGUUGUCCGGAUUUAUUGGGCGUAAAGCGAGCGCAGGCGGUUUGAUAAGUCUGAAGUUAAAGGCUGUGGCUCAACCAUAGUUCGCUUUGGAAACUGUCAAACUUGAGUGCAGAAGGGGAGAGUGGAAUUCCAUGUGUAGCGGUGAAAUGCGUAGAUAUAUGGAGGAACACCGGUGGCGAAAGCGGCUCUCUGGUCUGUAACUGACGCUGAGGCUCGAAAGCGUGGGGAGCGAACAGGAUUAGAUACCCUGGUAGUCCACGCCGUAAACGAUGAGUGCUAGGUGUUGGAUCCUUUCCGGGAUUCAGUGCCGCAGCUAACGCAUUAAGCACUCCGCCUGGGGAGUACGACCGCAAGGUUGAAACUCAAAGGAAUUGACGGGGGCCCGCACAAGCGGUGGAGCAUGUGGUUUAAUUCGAAGCAACGCGAAGAACCUUACCAGGUCUUGACAUCCCGAUGCUAUUUCUAGAGAUAGAAAGUUACUUCGGUACAUCGGUGACAGGUGGUGCAUGGUUGUCGUCAGCUCGUGUCGUGAGAUGUUGGGUUAAGUCCC